rnacentral:rRNA from 1 species
GGCGGUUCGUUGCCGGCGACGUCGCAAGAAGUCCACUGGACCUUAUCAUUUAGAGGAAGGAGAAGUAGUAACAAGGUUUUCAUAGGUGAACCUGCGGAAGGAUCAUUGUCGAAACCUGCAAGAGCAGAGAGACCCGCGAACCCGUUCAAAAAACACCGGGGGUGCAGCGCAGGCCCCGUGCCCAGACCCGUCCCGGCACCAACACAACCUCGACGUGGAUUGUGCCAAGGACCACGGACAUCAGCGCGGCCCUCCCCGCCAGCCCUCAGGCGCGAAAGGAGGCAUCGCGUUGUUUCUACGUAACAGAACGACUCUCGCCAACGGAUAUCUCGGCUCUCGCAUCAAUGAAGAACGUAGCAAAAUGCGAUACUUGUUGUGAAUUGCAAAAUCCCGUGAACCAUGAGUCUUUUAACGCAAGUUGCGCCCGAAGCUCUUGAGGCCAAGGCACGUCUGUCUGGGUGUCACGCACAGCGUCGCCCCUGCCCCCUCCGGAGGAUCGGGGCGGAGAUUGGCCCCCCAUGCGCCCCAGCGCGCGGCCUGCCUAAACGCAGAUCCCACGGCCUCGAAGCGGCGCGAAGACUGAUGGUGUAGCCCUACGCAUCGCGUCGCGCCCCGAGCGGUCCCCAGCGGCCACGGACGACCCCCGCGAACCGUUGCGACCCUAGAUCAGGCGGGACUACCCGCUGAGUUUAAGCAUAUCAAUAAG